UUUGCUUCUUUAGCCUUGACUGCACCAGUGAAUAUUUUGAAAUCCUGGACGGCCCUCCAUCUUCAGCAAAGUCUUUGGGGAAGACCUGCUCUGGUUUCUACCUCACCUACUCGUCCUCCUCUAGCUCAAUGACUCUUGUGUAUUUCCGAGGGUUCAACAACAUAGGGAAAAACUUCAUUGCUUACUAUUAUUGUGCAACCAAAGAGUCAAUGUCGAAGUCCCCAUAUCUAGUCACCAUCCCAAUAAUAUCAGCCAUCCAAACACCAACAGUGAUUCCAACAACAACAGCCAUCCCCAAAGCAACAGCCAUCCCA